UACGUAGGUGGCAAGCGUUAUCCGGAAUUACUGGGUGUAAAGGGAGCGCAGGCGGGUCAGCAAGUCAGCGGUGAAAUUUAUGGGCUCAACCCAUAACCUGCCGUUGAAACUGUUGAUCUUGAGUGGAGUAGAGGUAGGCGGAAUUCCGAGUGUAGCGGUGAAAUGCGUAGAUAUUCGGAGGAACACCAGUGGCGAAGGCGGCCUACUGGGCUCUAACUGACGCUGAGGCUCGAAAGUGUGGGGAGCAAAC
rnacentral:rRNA from 1 species